rnacentral:rRNA from 1 species
UCCAGACUCCUACGGGAGGCAGCAGUGGGGAAUAUUGCACAAUGGGCGCAAGCCUGAUGCAGCCAUGCCGCGUGUGUGAAGAAGGCCUUCGGGUUGUAAAGCACUUUCAGCGAGGAGGAAGGUGGUGAACUUAAUACGUUCAUCAAUUGACGUUACUCGCAGAAGAAGCACCGGCUAACUCCGUGCCAGCAGCCGCGGUAAUACGGAGGGUGCAAGCGUUAAUCGGAAUUACUGGGCGUAAAGCGCACGCAGGCGGUUUGUUAAGUC